rnacentral:piRNA from 1 species
UGGGGGUGGAUCCCUGACACAGGGCUUGAUGC